GAGUGAACACAGAUCUUUAAGAAUUUUUUUUUCUGGCAGCUUUUAUGACUUUGGUCAGAAAGCCUAUGAGUUAU
rnacentral:snRNA from 1 species